ACUCCUACGGGAGGCAGCAGUGGGGAAUAUUGGACAAUGGGGGAAACCCGUAGCAUCCAGCCAUGCCGCGUGUGUGAAGAAGGCCUUCGGGUUGUAAAGCACUUUCAGUGGGGAGGAAGGUAGUGUAGUUAACACCUGCAUUAUUUGACGUUACCUACAGAAGAAGCACCGGCUAACUCCGUGCCAGCAGCCGCGGUAAUACGGAGGGUGCGAGCGUUAAUCGGAAUUACUGGGCGUAAAGCGCAUGCAGGCGGCCUGUUAAGUCAGAUGUGAAAGCCCGGGGCUUAACCUCGGAAUUGCAUUUGAAACUGGCAGGCUAGAGUCUUGUAGAGGGGGGUAGAAUUUCAGGUGUAGCGGUGAAAUGCGUAGAGAUCUGAAGGAAUACCAGUGGCGAAGGCGGCCCCCUGGACAAAGACUGACGCUCAGAUGCG
rnacentral:rRNA from 1 species